GCAAGGUUAAAACUCAAAUGAAUUGACGGGGGCCCGCACAAGCGGUGGAGCAUGUGGUUUAAUUCGAUGCAACGCGAAGAACCUUACCUACUCUUGACAUCCUGCGAAUUCGGUAGAGAUACCUUAGUGCCUUCGGGAACGCAGAGACAGGUGCUGCAUGGCUGUCGUCAGCUCGUGUUGUGAAAUGUUGGGUUAAGUCCCGUAACGAGCGCAACCCUUGUCCUUAUUUGCCAGCACGUAAUGGUGGGAACUCUAAGGAGACUGCCGGUGACAAACCGGAGGAAGGUGGGGACGACGUCAAGUCAUCAUGGCCCUUACGAGUAGGGCUACACACGUGCUACAAUGGCCGGUACAAAGGGCUGCCAACUCGCGAGAGUGAGCGAAUCCCUUAAAGCCGGUCUCAGUCCGGAUCGGAGUCUGCAACUCGACUCCGUGAAGUCGGAAUCGCUAGUAAUCGUGAAUCAGAAUGUCACGGUGAAUAGGUUCCCGGGCCUUGUACACACCGCCCGUCACACCAUGGGAGUGGCCUGCACCAGAAGUGGUUAGCCUAACGCAAGAGGGCGAUCACCACGGUGUGGUUCAUGACUGGGAAAGUCGUAAC
rnacentral:rRNA from 1 species